GCCGGAGGAUGCAAGCGUUAUCCGGAAUGAUUGGGCGUAAAGCGUCCGCAGGUGGCAGUUCAAGUCUGCUGUCAAAGGCCGGGGCUUAACUUCGGAAAGGCAGUGGAAACUGAACAGCUAGAGUAUGGUAGGGGCAGAGGGAAUUCCUGGUGUAGCGGUGAAAUGCGUAGAUAUCAGGAAGAACAUCGGUGGCGAAGGCGCUCUGCUGGACCAUAACUGACACUCAGGGACGAAAGCUAGGGGAGCGAAUGGG
rnacentral:rRNA from 1 species